GCAUCCAGACUUUGAUCCUGGCUCAGGAUGAACGCUAGCUACGGGCUUAACACAUGCAAGUCGAGGGGAAACGACAUCGAAAGCUUGCUUUUGAUGGGCGUCGACCGGCGCACGGGUGAGUAACGCGUAUCCAACCUGCCCACCACUUGGGGAUAACCUUGCGAAAGUAAGACUAAUACCCAAUGAUAUCUCUAGAAGACAUCUGAAAGGGAUUAAAGAUUUAUCGGUGAUGGAUGGGGAUGCGUCUGAUUAGCUUGUUGGCGGGGUAACGGCCCACCAAGGCAACGAUCAGUAGGGGUUCUGAGAGGAAGGUCCCCCACAUUGGAACUGAGACACGGUCCAAACUCCUACGGGAGGCAGCAGUGAGGAGUAUUGGUCAAUGGACGAGAGUCUGAACCAGCCAAGUAGCGUGCAGGAUGACGGCCCUAUGGGUUGUAAACUGCUUUUAUAAGGGAAUAAAGUGAGUCUCGUGAGACUUUUUGCAUGUACCUUAUGAAUAAGGACCGGCUAAUUCCGUGCCAGCAGCCGCGGUAAUACGGAAGGUCCGGGCGUUAUCCUGAUUUAUUGGGUUUAAAGGGAGCGUAGGCCGGAGAUUAAGCGUGUUGUGAAAUGUAGACGCUCAACGUCUGCACUGCAGCGCGAACUGGUUUCCUUGAGUACGCACA
rnacentral:rRNA from 1 species